rnacentral:rRNA from 1 species
GCCAGUGGUGAUAGCACAAUGAAUACCUACACCAGUUCUAAAUGGAUCACUAAAGUUAAGCAAAGUUGCACGUGGUUGGUAUCCAGAUAAGUGACCAAUUCAACUCUCUGGGCAAUAAUCGCGUACUGCUGGUU